CUGUGGGUUGUAAACCUCUUUUCUCAAGGAAGAAGUUCUGACGGUACUUGAGGAAUAAGCAUCGGCUAACUCUGUGCCAGCAGCCGCGGUAAUACAGAGGAUGCAAGCGUUAUCCGGAAUCACUGGGCAUAAAGCGUCUGUAGGUUGCUUAUCAAGUCUGCUGUUAAAGACCAGGGCCUAACCCUGGGAAAGCAGUGGAAACUAGUAGGCUUGAGUGUGGUAGAGGUAGAGGGAAUUCCUGGUGUAGCGGUGAAAUGCGUAGAUAUUAGGAAGAACACCAAUGGCGAAAGCACUCUACUGGGCCAUAACUGACACUGAGAGACGACAGCUAGGGGAGC
rnacentral:rRNA from 1 species